UACGUAGGGGGCAAGCGUUGUCCGGAAUCAUUGGGCGUAAAGCGCGUGUAGGCGGCCCAUUAAGUCUGAUGUGAAAGCCCGGGGCUCACCCGGAAGUGCAUUGGAAACUGAUGGGCUGGAGUCCCGGAGAGGAGGGUGGAAUUCCUGGUGUAGCGGUGAAAUGCGUAGAUAUCUGGAGGAACACCGGUGGCGAAGGCGGCGUUCUGGACUGCUACUGACACUGAGGAACGAAAGCCAGGGGAGCAAACGGG
rnacentral:rRNA from 1 species